AAGUCGUAACAAGGUUUCCGUAGGUGAACCUGCGGAAGGAUCAUUACCAUGUUUCCGAGCUAUGCCUUUGGCUGGCUCGAUUUCACCCUUGUCUUGUCUACCCUGUUUCCUCGGUGAUGGUAAAAGGGCCCUGCCAGAGGACAUUUUUUAAACCAUGUACUUGCAAUCAGCGUCAGAAAACAUAAUAAUUAAAAG
rnacentral:misc_RNA from 1 species